GGUGGCGUAGCAAAGGGCUACUUCGACUGAUAAUCGAGAGGCUGCGGGUUCGAAUCCCGUCCCCUUCA
rnacentral:tRNA from 1 species